rnacentral:lncRNA from 10 species
UGUACUAUCCGUAGGUGAGAACACUUCACCUCAUUACCUGGAUGUGGAGUGUUGAAGCUGGAAGGGAUCCCAGAGAUCGGAAGUGAGAGGGAGAAAACAAUGAACUUUGAGUGCAAAAAGAGAAGGAAGGAAAAGGUAGAAGAGAAAGAGAGAGAGGAGACAAAGGAGGAAAAAGGUGGUAGAGAAUGGUAAGGAAUGGUUAAGAAAGAUAAAAGUUAAAAAAGAAGAAAGAAAAGGAAAUGGUUAGAGAAGAGAUGGUGUUAAAGGGAGUCUGGAGGGGAGAGAAGAGGGGAAGAAAAAGAGAGAGGAGGCACCUGUUGAAUUCAGGCAUCGGCAUGUGACUUGAUUUGGUCAAUGAAAUGUGAGAGAAGUGACAUCCACUUUGAGGCAGGCAC